AGAGAUGCAAUUAUACAAGCAAAGAAUGAAUUGAAUACAUGGUUCAUAGAUAACGUUUCCUGUUCUGGAAAUAAAUCCAGUUAUUUGAUCAGUUUAAAAGCUGAUAGAAAGUCGUAAAAGUCAUGAUGAAGUGGAGCGUACAGUACUAAAAGACUGAGCGGAUGUUCAGUACUUGUAUCCAAUAAUUCAGGAUGGAGUGUUAAUGACACCUGUUAUCAGGAUUCCGGAAAUGUUACUCUUGAAACAGUGCUUGAAGUGAAUUGUUUUCAUACAGCCCAAUAUGUAAAGAUAUACGCAAAUAAGAAUAUUGAUGGGGGUGCUAUUCUUGAGAUCUGUGAGCUGGAGAUUUACGGUUGUUCAUACCAGGACAGUGUUGGAAAUUGCAUAUCUUGUGACCAGUGUAAGAAUGAUUGUAUGAUAAACGGGGAAUGUGAUGAACAGGGAUGUAAAAUUGAUAGUCUCCCUCCUCCAUUCUGUAAAGAAUGCAGGGAAGGUUUCUACGGAAGAAAGUCUUGUCUGUGGACACUGUGCUAAACAAGCAGUAUGUGAUCAGGUGGAUGGUUCUUGUCCUGCGGGAUACUGUGAACCAGGAUGGAAAUAUACACUUGAUCAAAGAUGCAAUGAAGAAUGUGAUGAAGGAACUUACGGGUUAUAAUGUAGUCACAGAUGUGGAUACUGUGCAAAAGGAGUAUCGUGCAACAAAGUUGAUGGGAGCUGCCUCGGAGGUUGUGAAGAUGGAUGGACAAAUCACUACUGCAGUGAAACUUGCUUGACAAAUUUCUACGGAAAAAACUGCAGUUUUCUGUGUGGACAAUGCGCAAACAACGCAACAUGUGAUCACGUGACAGGACUCUGUCCUUCUGGACUCUUUGAACGAGGAUGGAAAAAUACAAGUGAUAAAAGAUGUACAUGUAAUGAAUCGACCAACCAGGGACCAGAGCGCAAUUCAAACCAAAUAGUCAUAUCAUCUCUGUAUGGAGUUAUUGCAGCUCUCUUUUUAAGUAUACUGCUUAACAUUUUUCUAAUUGUCAGAAAUGCCAGAAGAGCUUUUUACAAAAGACAAAGCUUAAACAAAGGAAAUAAGGAGGAAAAUUCAGCGAAAAAAGCCUACACUGUCAAGAACCUGUACUAUUGAUUAAUCCCUCGAUUAAUGACACAGAAGAAAGUAAUGCAGGUUACCAAGAACUUGGACAAUUGAGCCAACCCUCUCAUUAUGAGGAACU